CGGGGGAGGCCGGAUCCUGGGCUGUGUCCCGGCGCGCGGUGUUCCAGAGCCUGCGGUAUUGGAUUCGCGCUCCCGGCCGCGUAGCCCCUC
rnacentral:pre_miRNA from 1 species